rnacentral:rRNA from 1 species
UACGUAGGGGGCGAGCGUUGUCCGGAUUUAUUGGGCGUAAAGAGCUCGUAGGCGGUUUGUCGCGUCGUCCGUGAAAACUCACAGCUUAACUGUGAGCUUGCGGUCGAUACGGGCAGGCUAGAGUUCGGUAGGGGAGACUGGAAUUCCUGGUGUAGCGGUGAAAUGCGCAGAUAUCAGGAGGAACACCGGUGGCGAAGGCGGGUCUCUGGGCCGAUACUGACGCUGAGGAGCGAAAGCGUGGGGAGCGAACAGG